GUUUGAUCCUGGCUCAGAUUGAACGCUGGCGGCAUGCCUUACACAUGCAAGUCGAACGGCAGCACGGACUUCGGUCUGGUGGCGAGUGGCGAACGGGUGAGUAAUGUAUCGGAACGUACCUUUCAGUGGGGGAUAACGUAGCGAAAGUUACGCUAAUACCGCAUAUUCUGUGAGCAGGAAAGCAGGGGAUCGCAAGACCUUGCGCUGAUUGAGCGGCCGAUAUCAGAUUAGCUAGUUGGUGGGGUAAAGGCCUACCAAGGCUACGAUCUGUAGCGGGUCUGAGAGGAUGAUCCGCCACACUGGAACUGAGACACGGUCCAGACUCCUACGGGAGGCAGCAGUGGGGAAUUUUGGACAAUGGGGGCAACCCUGAUCCAGCCAUGCCGCGUGAGUGAAGAAGGCCU
rnacentral:rRNA from 1 species